GGUGAAAUGACAGAGUGGCCGAAUGUACCAGUCUUGAAAACUGGCGUAGGGAGACCUACCGGGGGUUCGAAUCCCUCUUUCACCG
rnacentral:tRNA from 1 species